rnacentral:lncRNA from 1 species
GGCUACUUCAAUUUCAAAAUACCUAGAGGGUAUUGUAAGCUGUGGAGGACUACAAGACAAAAAGGAUUAAAAGGAUGUGAAAAUAUCACCUCUUACAGGCUAACAGGUAGGAUAUGCCAGCAUCCAGGUUUUGUGCAUUUUACCCAAAGAAUCACUGGCAAGUCAGUUGAUUUCAAGAGAUUUUCACCUACUCAGAGUGGACAGUGAAGAAAAGUAACUAAACUUGUUUGACUCAACCACUUCUGCUGUUAACUGGAAGCAAUACCUACGUUACCUGCCUGCCUCAUAGCACAACACUUGAAAGUCUGUUUGAACGUGGCUUGCUUGCAAGUGAUGGCCAACCUGGUAUUAAGGUGAAAAAGACAAGUCAAAGUGGGGUAAGUGUAAGAUCCCACUGAACACUUAUAAUUAUCAUAUUUAUUUCACUGUUG